rnacentral:rRNA from 1 species
UAAUACGUAGGGUGCGAGCGUUAAUCGGAAUUACUGGGCGUAAAGCGUGCGCAGGCGGUUAUAUAAGACAGAUGUGAAAUCCCCGGGCUCAACCUGGGAACUGCAUUUGUGACUGUAUAGCUAGAGUACGGCAGAGGGGGAUGGAAUUCCGCGUGUAGCAGUGAAAUGCGUAGAUAUGCGGAGGAACACCGAUGGCGAAGGCAAUCCCCUGGGCCUGUACUGGCGCUCAUGCACGAAAGCGUGGGGAGCAAACAGG